GACGAACGCUGGCGGCGUGCUUAACACAUGCAAGUCGAACGGAAAGGCCCUGCUUUUGUGGGGUGCUCGAGUGGCGAACGGGUGAGUAACACGUGAGUAACCUGUCCUUGACUUUGGGAUAACUUCAGGAAACUGGGGCUAAUACCGGAUAGGAGCUCCUGCUGCAUGGUGGGGGUUGGAAAGUUUCGGCGGUUGGGGAUGGACUCGCGGCUUAUCAGCUUGUUGGUGGGGUAGUGGCUUACCAAGGCUUUGACGGGUAGCCGGCCUGAGAGGGUGACCGGCCACAUUGGGACUGAGGUACGGCCCAGACUCCUACGGGAGGCAGCGGGGGGGAGUAUUGCGCAAUGGGCGGGAGCCUGAUGCAGCAACGCCGCGUGCGGGAUGACGGCCUUCGGGUUGUAAACCGCUUUCGCCUGUGACGAAGCGUGAGUGACGGUAAUGGGUAAAGAAGCACCGGCUAACUACGUG
rnacentral:rRNA from 1 species